rnacentral:rRNA from 1 species
GACGUAGGGCGCGAGCGUUGUCCGGAUUUAUUGGGCGUAAAGAGCUCGUAGGCGGCUUGUCGCGUCGAAUGUGAAAUCCCGUGGCUCAACUGCGGGUCUGCAUUCGAUAACGGGCAGGCUAGAGUUCGGUGAGGGGAGACGUGGAAUUCCUGGUGUAGCGGUGAAAUGACGUAGAUAUCAGGAGGAACACCGAUGGCGAAGGCAGGUCUCUGGGCUGACACUGACGCUCGAUGACACGAAA